UGAUCCAACGACUGACAUGAAGUUUCCCUUAUUUCCUUUUAAAUCACCCAAAUCUAACCCUAAUACCCGUUGCUAAAAAAUUCAGCCACACCUUCUUCUUCUCUCUCUCUACACCCAAAACUAUUAUGACUAUCUGCCGCUGAGACCAUCGGAUAGCCGACAACAGUCACCAUGACCGCUCCACCAUUUUUGGCCAAAUCGGCGCCAUCGCACCGGUGAACCAUCCAGCAACCGCACCUCCACAUCAUCACAAAUCCGGCAAAAUUUCGCCAGCCACUGGCGAGCCCCUCCGGUAAUGCCUUUCUCUCUCUUUCGUCCCCAACCAGCGCGCCACUUCCUGUUCAAACCGCUGCCGCUGACCUCUUUUUUGCCAAAAAUAAUGGGUUCUCAAGAACCCAUUCACAGAUCCUAUUGAGCAUUCAAGAUGGAUGAAAAGUUGUUUGAGAAUUGGGGAGGGGCUGCCUAUUUUUUUAGUUCAAUUUAUCUUUUCUUUUAUUAUUCGUUUGUAUGUAAAAUUUGUAUAAACUUCUAUAUGUAUUAAUAAAUUAUGGGGAUUGCCUGGGGAGCGGGGUUUAUGUA